UUUUUUUUAUUUUGAUUUUUAAUUUUUUCAUUUUCCUUUUGACUUUGAUUUUGAUUUUUCUUUUUCCUUUUUUGAUCUGAGCCUUUUAGGUGCAACUUCAACAAAAACUUUGGAUCUUCCUCUUUAAUCAGGAUGGACCCGACAACAACUUGAAGAGAUGGAAAUUCGACUUCAAAUGGGCAAAGCUAUGCUGACUCCACGAGACAGGCAUUGCCUCGGCAAUGAAUUACAUUGUUCAUACUGCAAAUUUCUGACAUCGUGCUGUUGUGCAAAUUUU
rnacentral:lncRNA from 1 species